rnacentral:rRNA from 1 species
CCUACGGGCGGCAGCAGUGAGGAAUAUUGGUCAAUGGACGAGAGUCUGAACCAGCCAAGUAGCGUGAAGGAUGAAUGCCCUAUGGGUUGUAAACUUCUUUUAUAUGGGAAUAAAAUGUUCCACGUGUGGGAUUUUGUAUGUACCAUAUGAAUAAGGAUCGGCUAACUCCGAGCCAGCAGCCGCGGUAAUACGGAGGAUCCGAGCGUUAGCCGGAUUUAAUGGGUUUAAAGGGAGCGUAGGUGGAUUGUUAAGUCAGUUGUGAAUGUUUGCGGCUCAACCGUAAAAUUGCAGUUGAAACUGGCAGUCUUGAGUACAGUAGAGGUGGGCGGAAUUCGUGGUGUAGCGGUGAAAUGCUUAGAUAUCACGAAGAACUCCGAUUGCGAAGGCAGCUCACUGGACUGCAACUGACACUGAGGCUCGAAAGUGUGGGUAUCAAACAGGAUUAGAUACCCUGGUAGUC